CUCAUGUGUGAGAAAAUGCAAAAAUGUUAAGAGGUGAAAUCAUUGGGUUAUGAAAGCCUUAACUCAAUCAGAGCAUUAAUUCUCUGAAAAGGAUUAACUGGAUGGUAACUGAAGGCAGGUAGGAUGUGGCUGGAGGAGGUGGGCAUUAAGGGCAUAUCUUUGGCAUUUGUAGUUUGUCAUGAGGAGGAGACUUUCUCUGUGCUUCCUGUUGUAAUGUCCUCAGCUGCUUUCCUCACCCUUCCACCAUCAUGUUCUGCUUCACUUCAAGCCCCAAGGAAUGGAGCCAACCAUCUAUGGACUGAGACCUCUGAAUUGUGAGCACCCAAAUAAACUUUUCCUCCUUUAAUUGUUCUUUUCAGGUCUUUUAGUCACUAUGGUGAAAAAGCUGACUAAAACAGAGGCACAGGCAGUAAGAAGCCUCUAUUAUCAGGCUGCUUUCACUCUGGCCGUGAACAAGUGAAUCUGCAGACUCUUUCGUUUUAGUUUGAAUUGACUCUGGUUUUGCACAGCAGAAGCAGCCACUGGGAAAUGGCCCCCUUCUCAUUGGAGGCUUUCCAGGCAUUGAUGAAAUCUGACUAUAUGUAGAGCACUAGCUACAGCGAAUUCUGGGAAAAUAACUUCCCUGCCUCUGAAGUACAAACAUAUAAGUGGAAUGGAAUGAAGAUACUAGAGAAUCAUAAACAGUAUGUGGUUACAACAAGAACAAUGUAAGAAUUAUUUUAAAUCAUGAAGAGUUGAGAUACACAGUCUAAAUCUGUUUCUAUUUUUCACAGUCGAUUGCUUUAUUAUUAUUAUUAUUAGAUUUAUAUAGUUUUUAGCCUGUAGGGGGAUUUGCUAUGGAGUGCUCUUGGGGAAAUAGAAGAUAAGGAGGGAAAACAAGAUUGGGUGGAAGAGAAAACUGACCAAGGGAGUAAUGAGUAGCACUUAAGUCGAUCACUUGGAUGCCACCUAUAAUUUUCCAUGCCUCCAUUGCACGAAAGUAACCAACUUUUUUUUUUUUUAACAAUAAGGGUCAAUAACUCAUUUGAGAAUGGUGACUGCUCUUGUUGCCUGCUAGUGCUUUGACAUAAAUUACCUAAGUAUUUAGAUGCAAAUUAUAGCCUAUAGUUCAAUGGGACUAUUGCCAAACCUCUAGCAGAAGUAUUCACAAACAAAAGUAUUCAUUGCUUUGCUAGGAUUAGAAACAUUUUUUGAAAAAAUUAUCCAGAAAAUGCAGAAUACCCUGAAUUUGAAAGGGAGUAAUAGUAAAAACUGUGCUACAUGGUUGUUGUAAUCACUUAUAAAUCAUUGAAAACAAGUAUGCAACUAUUGUUGCAGAAGAAAGUCUGGUUUAAUAUAAUAAUACAUAGUUGUUUUGAUGGAGAUGAAAAUGUUCUUUUGUAGUAUUUUGUUAUGGUUUGCUUGAUAAUGAAUGGCAUGUUAACAUGAUGUAAAGUUAUCUUCCUUUUGGGAAUAUUUGUGCAUGUAUAUUAGGACAUCAUGCAAAACAAACAUUUUGGUAGAUAUGUAAGCACUGAGGACAUUUCAAUUUUUCUGCAGUUCAAAAAAUCAUUUUAGAGAAGGUAUAAUAUCAUUAUCCCAAGCUUGUGGAAAAGCCAAAACAAAGUAAUAAAUCCAUUAUAAAUAAGUUAAGAAAUUCCUGCUUUGAGAAUGUACUCUGCAUGUCUGCUAAAGAGAGAAUAUUUUCCCUGAGUAGUAUUUUAAAUAUUAUUUCAAUAUCAAUAGUCCUGGCGCUGAAUGAAUUAAAAUUUCCCAAAGAGAUUCCUUUUGAGGAAUCAAAAUUCCUUAAUGAUCAAUGAGAGAAAAAGAAAAGUCUAUUAUAUUGUGAAAGUAUGUAUUUUUUUUUUACAUUUGUGUUCUUAUAGAUGUUAUGUACUUAUAUAUUAUGUGUUCUAUGUAUAUAGGUGAAAAGAAGUAGUCCUUAUCUAAAAGUGCAGGUGCGCCUGAGGUUAUACACACUGUAGACUGAGUACCUAAGGUAUUUUCUGUGUAUGAUUAGGGGCAAUAACUUAUUUUAAAAAUGAUGACUUCUCUUCUUGCUUGCUAGUUCUUUGACACAAAAGCCCAAGUGCUUAGAUAAAAAUUAUAGUUCAAUGGGACUCUUGCCAAAUCUGAAAUAAAAUCAUGCACUUUUUAAAGUGAAGUCUAGAGUUUAUGACUUCCAGGCUUUCUUUGUAACAUUCUCAUUUUUUUCUUCAUUCCGGCUAUUAUUUGCCAAUGGAUUCAUUUUAAUUUUUCCUUUUCUAUUCAAUUACAGCAUUAGGUUAACUAUCUCCAGUUCUUCAAUCUUGUUUCACAAAUAAGAGAACAUAUCUACAGUGAAUUCAGGUGGAGCCACAUUUGUAGGAUAUUAGAAGGUUGUCUGCAUCUGGAAGAGGUGUGAGCAUUAUACUCUCUUGACAUUUCUUACAAAUGCAUUAUCUUUAAUUAAGGAAACCUGAUGUAGUCAUUUAAUUGGGUACUCUACAUUUGAAUUCUUAACUUUUGAAAAUAAACAUUCCUGUCAAGCCAGAAUAGAAAAUAGAAUUUGUAAAGUUGAAAAUUUUGUAUUAUUGCUCUGACUGAUAUGGAUGGGAUGUUAUUGGAACUAAAAAACAGCUCAACACUAAUAACCAUUUGUUUUAGAUUCCAGAUCUGAUUAUAUAAAAGUGCUUUUUUCUAAUACUUUAAGGAUCAUUAUUUAUUCUUAUCCUUACUUCAAUAGGAUCUUAUAAAGUCUUUCUCAAAUGGGUCACAUUUCUAAUUCUACUGUACUACUAAUAGAUUCUUCAUUGAAGAAAUGUACUAGAAAAUUCUAAAUAUUCAAACAUUUUUUCUAUUUAAUGUUCAAUCAAUAAAUUUAAACAAAAAGCCCUUCAGGGAUACUAAGAGCCUAUACAGGCAUUACCAAAAAAAAAUCUUUAAUUUGUACUAGGCAAAAAUGCAUGACAUAAUUUUACAUGAAAAAGCUAAAGUGAGGUCAGAGGUAUAGCCCAUGUAACAUUUCUUCAAAAGCAUAGGUCAGAAGUUCUUAUGGAUGGAGAGAGACAUCUGUUGCAGUAGUAGACCUGGGGUUCCCUUGAAAAUUGGACUUUUUGUCUGUUACACAACUUAUUUAUGAUAAAAAGGAAUAUAUGCUUGGAUGUUGGAUUUUGGUAAUGGUACAAAAUAAAAGAUAAAUUUAUCUUCACCGCUGGUGAUCUAAUCACCAAUAAAAUCAAAUAUUUAAUACUUGAUAAUUCUUUUAUGACUUGUGUAGUAUGUUUUAUUUCUCAUAGUGUAGUAUGUUUCCAGUGACAACAAGAAAUAAAAGGAAACAGCUAUGCUUAGCUAUGCUAACUGUGCAUUUUUUAAGAUCUCAAAUCAAACACCAAUAACUCAGAAAAGAUUUACCUGAUAUUAAUGAUCAAGCCAACUGCCUAAGUUUUAUUUAAUAAUUUCACUAUUAUCCACUUCUAAAUAUUUACCACAGUUGUAAUUCUCCAUUUUUUAUAAUUGUCUGAUGCCUGACUCCCCUACUACAAUGGACAGAAAUUUUGUUCUUUGGUUUUCUUUUCUCUCUCUCUCUCUCUCUCUCUCUCUCUCUCUCUCUCUCUCUCUCUCUCUCUUUUUUCCAGGAGUGAAUUAGUUGUUCUAAACAAAACCAAAAACACAACAGCAAGUUCAACUAUUCUAUAGACCAAAAUUAGAGGAAAACAUCUCCCAGGAAUUUAGGCUGAUACUUCAGAAGUACUCCAGAAGAGAUGGAGGUGAAAGGAUGAUAGAGAACAGAUCCAAUACACAGGGGACGAGGUGGAAAGCCAAGAAGAAAAGCAGGGGAACAGAGUGGUAUUGACUUGCUCAAGACAAAUAAAGAUUGUGGCAUAUUGUAUGAUUGGCAGCCUGGCCACUGAUAUUUUUUAAAGCUUCCUAGAUGAUUUUAUUAUGUAACCAAGGUUCAGAACCACUGGAUUAAGAAAAGUAACAUUCAAUAUACUUAAAUUAUGUAAAAAUUCUACUUGUGUUCAUAGUACUGUAUACUGUGAAAUAUACUUUAUAUAAAGUUCUAUGUAAAAUACCUCCUACAAAAAGAAAAAAAAAAAGGCUUCUAAAUCCUAACAGUUCAGAGAGAAAAGGAAAUAUGUAUAGCCAUAAUGUGAAAAUGUAUAAAAAUAUAUUUGUUAAAUUGAAUUCAGAGAAAGGAUGAUUUAAAACAUUAAAAUAUUAUUUCAUAUUCAUAUCGUCAUAAAUGGAAGGAACCCUAAAAUAUCAAAGGUGUGAAGAAAUACCAACUUUUAUAUAUUUCUGAUGCUAAUGUAAUGAUGAAAUUACUUGAAAAACAAUGUAGCUAUACAUAGAGAAGUUGAACUUGAGACCUAAAACGUCUUGGGUUUUCUUCUAAGCAUAUACUUUAGAGAAAUUUUUGUUCAUGUGAGAAAGGAAGUCAUGUUCACUGCAUAAUUUUAAAGGCAACAAAUUAGACAUCUAUCAGUACACAAAUGAAUUCAAACACUAUCAGAUGUAUUAUGAUGAAAUAGUUCUUAGGUCAUGUUACAGUUUGGGUGUGAGGUAAAUCCCCAAAGCUCACUUGUAAGACAAUGCAAGAAGGUUUGGAGAGAAAUGAUUGGGAUAGAGUCUUAACCUAAUCAGUGAAUUAAUCCCUGAUGGGAUUAACUAGGUGGUGGCUGGAGGUAGGUGGGGUGUGGCUGGGGGAAGUGGUUCAUUGGAGCGUGGCUAUGGCAUAUAUAUUUUGUGUCUGGAGCACGAAGACUCUCUCUCUGCUUUUCAGUCAUCAUGUGAGCUGCUUCCCUCUUCCACACUCUCCCACCAUGAUGUUCUGCUUCACCUGGAGUCCUGAGGAACAGAACUGGCCUUCAAUGGACUAAGACCUCUGAAAUCGUGAGCCCUCAAAUAAACUUUCCUUCCCUAAAAGAAUUCUGGUCAGAUCUUUUAGUCCCAGCAGCGAAAAAUGCUGACUAAAACAGGCCCAUAGAUUAUUAUCUAUAUGAUUCGUAGUUUACUAUCUAUGUUAGUUUUCUGUUCAUAGUUUGUAAUUUACAUUAGUUUAUAUUAUAGUUUAUUAUGUAUAUUAUUUAGUUUUUGCUGCAUCAUAACACAGUCUUAAAACUGAUUUAAAGCUACAUCCAUUUGUUUAGUUCACAUUUUUGUGGGUAGGUAAUUUUAGCUGGGUUCACUUGCAAAGUUUUGUUGGACCUGUCUGGGCUUGACCAGCAGCUGCUGGUACUUGGGCUCAUUUAUAGAUCUGGAGGUUGGCUGGCUGUUGGCUGGAUGCAAGGCUGAGUUAUGUGUCUCUCAUCAGGAGUCAGGCCAGCCUAUGCUUUUUUGCAUAGUGGUACUUGCAGGAUUUCCAACAACAUCAAAUAGUCAAGAUCCAAUGUAGAGGCACUUUCUAAGCUUCUGCUUAUGUACCAUUCACUAAUAUUCUGCUGGUCAAAGAAAUCAAGUGGUCAAUCCAGAUUCAAGUAGUGAUUUCUUAAUAGGAGAAAUGGCAAAAAAAAAAAAAAAUGUUGGCUUUGUUUUUUCCCAAUUUACCCUUAGGAUUAGUAUUUUCAAACUCAGUUUUAGAAAAGUGCUUAUGAGCUCCAUAUAUUGAACAUUCACCAAUACCCCAAGCAGGAUCUGGAACAACUCUCUAUUUUCAAUCCCUUUAGUGUUGCUACAGCAAAAUUGAUUAUCGUUGAUAAAGAUAAUAAACUGUAUCUGUCAGUUCAAGUGUAUUGUCCAAAAAUUAGUACCAAAUUUACAAACAACCAGUCAAAUAAAUAAAUUUGGUUGUAGGGGGAUUGGAAACUGAAUAAAUGACUGUAGACCUUCUGAAUGUGAGUUAAAAUUGGAUCAUAUAUAAGUUUUGGCAUAGGUUAAAGACAUAAUUAAAUGAAAGAAAGCAAGUUACAUAAAAAUAUUUGCUGCAAACAACAAUUAUAUAAAGUUUUAACAGAAAAUGUUGUGUAGAGAUACAUUUAAAGGCAUAUUUUGAUGAAAACAAAAAUUGAAAUAUAUAUACAAAUUUCAAGGAGGUAGUUGGUUCUGAAGAGAAAAAUGAUGACAAAAAUAUGUGAAGUGGAAAAUAAAUAUAAUUAAUUUUCAUUUUAAAUCUAUUUGAAGCAACAGAAACAAAUACAAAUGGAAAUUAUUAUAUGAUAUAAAUGAUAAAAAGUGAAACUCAAAUGACUAGGGAAAAUUCAUACAUUUACAUUAAUGGACCUGAGAACUUGAGGGACAUUCAAAACAUUAGAUCCUGCUGGACACAGGGUUACUCCUGUAAUCCCAGUGGCUCAGGAGGCUGAGGCAAAAGGAUUGCAAGUUCAAGACCAGCCAGGGCAGUUUAGCAAGACCCUGUCUCAAAAAUAAAAAGGGCUGGAGAUGUGGCUCAGUGGUUAAGUGGGUUCAAUCCCUGGUACCCAAAAGCUUAGAUUCUUACACUAUACACCAGAAUUAAUACCAAAUAAAUCAGAUAUUCUGUUGUUAAAAAUCAAGGAAAACUGGGGCUGGAGUUGUGGCUCAGAGGUAGAGUGCUUGCCUACCAUGUGUGAGACCCUAGGUUUGAUACUCAGCACCACAUAAAAAUAUAAAAUAAAAUAUAUUGUCCACCUAUAACUAAAAAAUAAAUAUAAAAAAAUCAAGGAAAACUAGUACUUUAAAAUUAAUCAUUUUUUUUUUAUAAACUGAGUGGAGAAAAUUUUCUGUGAUUAAAUUUGGUCAUGAAAACAAUGAGAAAGAUCUUAUGCUUUGAAAUUGCUAGAUCUAUAAGACAUAUUGCAGGGUAAGAAAGCAGAACAAUGUGUGUGGUAUACUUCCUUUUGAAUAACAGUAAAAACUCAAUAGUGCAAUGUACUGACAUUUGCUUAUGGGGAGGGAGGAGGCAAACAGGAUGAAAUAGCAAUGAACCCAUAAUUUCUUGUAAUAUAUGUGGCUUUGACUUUACAACCAUUUUCACCAUGCAUUCCUAAAUAAAUAAUUAAUUAAAAAACAUGAACAACAAAGAAAACUCAAAGUUCACUUGGUAUCUUAUUUUUGAUAAUAUUGAUAUUAUACUUUUAA
rnacentral:lncRNA from 1 species